AAGGUCACGCAUCCCGAGAGAAAGCAGAGGAGUACGGCGAGUUCAGGGUAUCCUCUGUAAAUCGAAAGAAGUAACUAGCAAAACACGAAUUGAUUCUGCUCGGAGCGCGCGUGAAUGAAGCUCUCGCCUGGUGAACCGGAAACCCCCGAGAUUAAUCGUGUCGACGUCCAAGAAUUCGGCGCCGAUUGUUCUUCGCAGAAGAUCCGGCGUUUCGAGAUCAGUCCGUUUUCACAUCCACGAUGCACCUACAUUCUAAGGAUCAAAAUUUCCCGUCUUCUUUCGUGGAUUCAACGGGAGAAAUAAAGCCGACUUGUGCUAGUUCUAUCCAAGGUAUCAAUUGCCUUGCAUCAUCGUCGCGAGGAAAAUCACGGUGCCGAGAUCGGUACCGUUGAAAAUGCGGAAUGGUCCUUGCACAUCGCGAAUCUCUCGCCAGUUUCAUCGGCCGCAUUGGUUAUUACCGCGAACCUGUUCGCAACUGACCGUCUGCCGAAGAUGCUGUCCAACCGGCGAGAAUUGCACGUAUGCAAAAAGUUGGGAGCAACAAGAGGAGGAAGAAUAAGAGGAAAUAAGACUCCGAGGUCGUCCAGACGUACAGACCCUCGGAAAAGUUCGAGGAUCCGUGAAUCGCGAAACUACGUUCACCACUCUGCCACCCAGUUUAGAUCAGCUUGCACAGACCUGUAACUUCCACGCGUCCUCGGACAUGUGAAUCCUGAGCGGUGAUCCGGAGGAUUCCAUCCUUGAGGCGGUAUUCACGGUGUCACCGAAGAGACAGUACCUCGGCAUUUUUAGACCGACUACACCGGCCACGCAGUGACCUGAAUUUGGAACGGUUGGAAGGAAGAUCGAUCGAUUGGAAGAUGGUCAAGAUUGUACACCGAGAGAAAAAUACGAUGCAUGCGUAUCGUAGUGGAAC
rnacentral:lncRNA from 1 species